rnacentral:rRNA from 1 species
AGACUAAGCCAUGCAUGUCUAAGUAUAAACGCUUCUAUACUGUGAAACUGCGAAUGGCUCAUUAAAUCAGUUAUAGUUUAUUUGAUGGUUUCUUUACUACUUGGAUAACCGUAGUAAUUCUAGAGCUAAUACAUGCAGAAAAUCCCGACUUCUGGAAGGGAUGUAUUUAUUAGAUCCAAAACCGGCGCAGACUCCCCCGGGGGUCUGGUUGCUAGGUGAUUCAUGAUAACUGCUCGAACCGUAUGGCCUCGUGCCGACGGUGCUUCAUUCAAAUUUCUGCCCUAUCAACUUUCGAUGGUACGGUAGUGGCCUACCAUGGUUGCAACGGGUGACGGAGAAUUAGGGUUCGGUUCCGGAGAGGGAGCCUGAGAAACGGCUACCACAUCCAAGGAAGGCAGCAGGCGCGCAAAUUACCCAAUCCCGACUCGGGGAGGUAGUGACAAUAAAUAACAAUGCCGGGCUAUACUAGUCUGGCAAUUGGAAUGAGUACAAUCUAAAUCCCUUAACGAGGAACAAUUGGAGGGCAAGUCUGGUGCCAGCAGCCGCGGUAAUUCCAGCUCCAAUAGCGUAUAUUAAAGUUGUUGCAGUUAAAAAGCUCGUAGUUGGAUUUCGGGGCAGCCUGACUGGUCCGUCGCGAGACGUGUACUGGCCAGCCGCCCUUCCUCUCGAAAGCCCCGACUGCUCUUCAUUGCAGUGGUCGGGUAGUUCGGGACGUUUACUUUGAAAAAAUUAGAGUGUUCAAGGCAGGCUUUCGCCUGAAUACAUUAGCAUGGAAUAAUGGAAGAGGACUUCGGUCCUAUUUUGUUGGUUUCUGGGGCCGAAGUAAUGAUUAAGAGGGACAGUUGGGGGCAUUCGUAUUUAAUUGUCAGAGGUGAAAUUCUCGGAUUUAUGAAAGACGAACAACUGCGAAAGCAUUUGCCAAGGAUGUUUUCAUUAAUCAAGAACGAAAGUUAGGGGUUCGA